GACGUAGGGCGCGAGCGUUGUCCGGAUUUAUUGGGCGUAAAGAGCUCGUAGGCGGCUUGUUGCGUCGACCGUGAAAACCCGGGGCUCAACUUCGGGCUUGCGGUCGAUACGGGCGGGCUAGAGUUCGGUAGGGGAGACUGGAAUUCCUGGUGUAGCGGUGAAAUGCGCAGAUAUCGGGAAGAACACCCGUGGCGAAGGCGGCUGCUCUGGGACGGUACUGACACUGAGACGCGAAAGCGUGGGGAGCGAACAGG
rnacentral:rRNA from 1 species